GACGGAGGAUGCAAGCGUUAUCCGGAAUGAUUGGGCGUAAAGCGUCCGCAGGUGGCAGUUCAAGUCUGCUGUCAAAGACCGGGGCUUAACUUCGGAAAGGCAGUGGAAACUGAACAGCUAGAGUAUGGUAGGGGCAGAGGGAAUUCCUGGUGUAGCGGUGAAAUGCGUAGAUAUCAAGUGGAACACCAGUGGCGAAGGCGAGUCCCUGGACAAUUCCUGACACUGAGGCACAAAAGCUAGGGGAGCAAACAGG
rnacentral:rRNA from 1 species